rnacentral:rRNA from 1 species
AGUGAACGCUGGCGGUAGGCCUAACACAUGCAAGUCGAACGGCAGCACAGUAAGAGCUUGCUCUUACGGGUGGCGAGUGGCGGACGGGUGAGGAAUAUAUCGGAAUCUACUUUUUCGUGGGGGAUAACGUAGGGAAACCUACGCUAAUACCGCAUACGACCUACGGGUGAAAGCAGGGGAUCUUCGGACCUUGCGCGAUUGAAUGAGCCGAUGUCGGAUUAGCUAGUUGGCGGGGUAAAGGCCCACCAAGGCGACGAUCCGUAGCCGGUCGGAGAGGAUGAUCAGCCGCACUGGAACUGAGACGCGGUCCAGACUCCUACGGGAGGCAGCAGUGUGGAAUAUUGGGCAAUGGGGGCGAGCCUGAUCCAACCAUACCGCGUGGGUGAAGGAGGCCUUCGGGUUGUAAAGCCCUUUUGUUGGGAGAGAAAAGCAGCAGGUUAAUACCCCGCUGUUCUGACGGUACCCAAAGAAUAAGCACCGGCUAACUUCGUG